ACGCUAGCUACAGGCUUAACACAUGCAAGUCGAGGGGCAGCAUGGUCUUAGCUUGCUAAGGCCGAUGGCGACCGGCGCACGGGUGAGUAACACGUAUCCAACCUGCCGUCUACUCUUGGACAGCCUUCUGAAAGGAAGAUUAAUACAAGAUGGCAUCAUGAGUCCGCAUGUUCACAUGAUUAAAGGUAUUCCGGUAGACGAUGGGGAUGCGUUCCAUUAGAUAGUAGGCGGGGUAACGGCCCACCUAGUCUUCGAUGGAUAGGGGUUCUGAGAGGAAGGUCCCCCACAUUGGAACUGAGACACGGUCCAAACUCCUACGGGAGGCAGCAGUGAGGAAUAUUGGUCAAUGGGCGAGAGCCUGAACCAGCCAAGUAGCGUGAAGGAUGACUGCCCUAUGGGUUGUAAACUUCUUUUAUAAAGGAAUAAAGUCGGGUAUGGAUACCCGUUUGCAUGUACUUUAUGAAUAAGGAUCGGCUAACUCCGUGCCAGCAGCCGCGGUAAUACGGAGGAUCCGAGCGUUAUCCGGAUUUAUUGGGUUUAAAGGGAGCGUAGAUGGAUGUUUAAGUCAGUUGUGAAAGUUUGCGGCUCAACCGUAAAAUUGCAGUUGAUACUGGAUAUCUUGAGUGCAGUUGAGGCAGGCGGAAUUCGUGGUGUAGCGGUGAAAUGCUUAGAUAUCACGAAGAACUCCGAUUGCGAAGGCAGCCUGCUAAGCUGCAACUGACAUUGAGGCUCGAAAGUGUGGGUAUCAAACAGGAUUAGAUACCCUGGUAGUCCACACGGUAAACGAUGAAUACUCGCUGUUUGCGAUAUACGGCAAGCGGCCAAGCGAAAGCGUUAAGUAUUCCACCUGGGGAGUACGCCGGCAACGGUGAAACUCAAAGGAAUUGACGGGGGCCCGCACAAGCGGAGGAACAUGUGGUUUAAUUCGAUGAUACGCGAGGAACCUUACCCGGGCUUAAAUUGCAGAUGAAUUACGGUGAAAGCCGUAAGCCGCAAGGCAUCUGUGAAGGUGCUGCAUGGUUGUCGUCAGCUCGUGCCGUGAGGUGUCGGCUUAAGUGCCAUAACGAGCGCAACCCUUGUUGUCAGUUACUAACAGGUUCCGCUGAGGACUCUGACAAGACUGCCAUCGUAAGAUGUGAGGAAGGUGGGGAUGACGUCAAAUCAGCACGGCCCUUACGUCCGGGGCUACACACGUGUUACAAUGGGGGGUACAGAGGGCCGCUACCACGCGAGUGGAUGCCAAUCCCCAAAACCUCUCUCAGUUCGGACUGGAGUCUGCAACCCGACUCCACGAAGCUGGAUUCGCUAGUAAUCGCGCAUCAGCCACGGCGCGGUGAAUACGUUCCCGGGCCUUGUACACACCGCCCGUCAAGCCAUGGGAGCCGGGGGUACCUGAAGUGCGUAACCGCGAGGAGCGCCCUAGGGUAAAACUGGUGACUGGGGCU
rnacentral:rRNA from 1 species